CGGAGGGGGCUAGCGUUGUUCGGAAUUACUGGGGCGUAAAGCGCACGUAGGCGGACCAGAAAGUUGGGGGUGAAAUCCCGGGGGCUCAACCCCCGGAACUGCCUUCAAAACUAUUGGUCUGGAGUUCGAGAGAGGUGAGUGGAAUUCCGAGUGUAGAGGUGAAAUUCGUAGAUAUUCGGAGGAACACCAGUGGCGAAGGCGGCUCACUGGCUCGAUACUGACGCUGAGGUGCGAAAGCGUGGGGAGCAAACAGGAUU
rnacentral:rRNA from 1 species